GAUGAACGCUGGCGGCGUGCCUAAUACAUGCAAGUCGAGCGAACAGACGAGGAGCUUGCUCCUCUGACGUUAGCGGCGGACGGGUGAGUAACACGUGGAUAACCUACCGAUAAGACUGGGAUAACUUCGGGAAACCGGAGCUAAUACCGGAUAAUAUAUUGAACCGCAUGGUUCAUUAGUGAAAGACGGUUUUGCUGUCACUUAUAGAUGGAUCCGCGCCGCAUUAGCUAGUUGGUAAGGUAACGGCUUACCAAGGCAACGAUGCGUAGCCGACUUGAGAGGGUGAUCGGCCACACUGGAACUGAGACACGGUCCAAACUCCUACGGGAGGCAGCAGUAGGGAAUCUUCCGCAAUGGGCGAAAGCCUGACGGAGCAACGCCGCGUGAAUGAUGAAGGUCUUCGGAUCGUAAAACUCUGUUAUUAGGGAAGAACAAAUGUGUAAGUAACUAUGCACGUCUUGACGGUACCUAAUCAGAAAGCCACGGCUAACUACGUG
rnacentral:rRNA from 1 species